rnacentral:rRNA from 1 species
AUGGGAGACAUGGUUACGGAAUUGGACGAGGCACAAGUAAGAAAUGCAGAGAACUCCACGGGACAGAGGAAGGCAUACAAUGUAGUAGACCAUGAAGUUUCCCCUGCAACAGAAUUACCUAGUGGAAAGGAACCUGUUGGCAACCAAUCAAUGACAGAAGGAAGACUGCAACCGGCCGGUGAUAAUUACCAGGAACCUGUUGGCAAACAAUCAAUGACAGAAGGAACACUACAACCAGCUGGUGAUAAUGAUCAGGACCCAUCUUCAGAUAGUAUUGAAAAGAAUACAGAAGGACUACUGGCAGAUGGACAGGAUCAACAAACCAACUCAGUUUACCAUCCACUGCAGCAAGCCGAAGAAGAAAACCAGUUACAUGAUAUUGUGGAAAGCAACGAAAUGCUAAGGAACAAUAGCAGCAGUGAAACUGAUUCAGACAGCAGCUCAGGGAGUGACUCAGAUAGUGAAGUCGGAAAAUACUUCUAUCCUCAAAUUGAACAAUUGGAGAUGGCAAAACAACCAGAGCCUGGAAUGAAAUUCCAAACCCUUGAAGAUGCGCAUAGGUUCUAUAAUACAUAUGCUCUCCUAACAGGUUUUGAGGCAAAGCGCGGUACAAAUUAA